rnacentral:lncRNA from 1 species
UUUUUUCAUGAGGAAAGAAAGAAGAUGAGCUGAGCAGAGUGGUGGGACCAAGUACUGCAAGGUCAACCUGAGCUUUUUAUCCAUCUCCUUACCCUUGGCAGCUGAGAAGACCACCAGGCUGAACAGCCCCCUAAUUACUGUGAUGGCAUUGCCUUGAUUUUGUACUGCAACAUGGCUGUGAUUUGGAGCUUGUCAGCUGAAACUGCUCCACAGAACUGUUGCUCUUUAUCUGGGCUGAGCAAUCAACUUGACAGAGUAUGUGUUUUGCCUGUUUCCCUUGAGCUGGAACUUCAGUACCUGAGAGAACUUGGCCGCAUGUGUGAUUUUUCUGGAAUUCACAGAGUUGUGCAGAGUUGUGCUCCUUUCUGCCAUUCUGAAUUGGCAGAAAGAAGAACUUCUCCCCUGCUUUCCACGACAGGACAAGUUCUCUAAUGCAGAUGACUUGGAAGAAGAGUGAAAUGAUGCUGUCCAGCCUGGAUUCUAAACUUGUCAUUAACUGAUAUAAUGCAGGCUGCUUGAUGGGGAGCAGAGCUGUCCCUGCUUCCUACUUUGAAAGAGUAUGUCCUGUAUUUUGAUCAAAUUAGGUUAUUUCUAUUGCCUUCCACCUUAUGUUACAACACAUUUUAUCCUGAUUCGCCCCCCUUCUGUACAUCUCUCUCAGGUUUUUGCAGCCUUCCAAGCAUUUUGGGAAUGCUUCACAAGAAGCAGUUGUGUAGUGUCUCUCUACUAAAGGUACACUGUUUUCAUCUCCCAUACUGUUUUCUUUUUUUGCCCAAUUUGUGUCAGGAUGUAGUGUGGCAGAAUGUGAAAAGAGUAUGCCUCUGCACUGAGAAUGGUAAGAGUACUGCACCCCAAUUUCCCAACUCCUUUUUCGUAACUGCAAAGGAAAACUUCCUCUUAGAAUUCAUGGCAAAACUACAGUUGAAUUUCACCAAGUAUUUGUAGCAGGAUAACUAUGUCACUGGAGCACCCAAACCUGGCUGUAUUAUGGAGUAGAAACUUUAAAGCACCCUGUAAAGUGGUGAACAGAGACGGCAGCAAAGGAUAUAGGACAGAUUUCCAUUCUAAACGUAUUAAAGUUUUUAUGUUGU